AAAUAUAAAUUCAUAUAACAAAGGGAGAGUUGAUUGCCCACAACUUUUUUAGGAGGCUAAAGUUUGAGAAUGGCACCCAUCACUACCAUAUUCUUCUUCCUCAUUGAUGCUUUCUCUUUGAUUUCGAGCCCUGAAAUAUUUCUGCAUUCGCCGGCCGCUCUGCCAGCCGGAUUCGCUUUCUCGCCUUAUGAAUUUUCAACUUUUCAACUCUUGCUAAUUGGAUAUUCACUUUGAUGUAUAAAAUUGUAAGAUGUGGAUUGGUUCGUGCUUCGACGAAAUCAAUGUAUGUGAGUACUUGUGCAAGAUAGCAUGUGAGUUCCAAGUAUGUAUCAGAUAAGAAUAUUAUAUUGGUAAAAUAUACCUUAUGUUUUUAUUGUUUUUCCA